rnacentral:rRNA from 1 species
UCAAGUAAUUAAGUGCAUGUGGUGGAUGCCUUGGCAGUCAGAGGCGAUGAAAGACGUGAUAGCCUGCGAAAAGCUCCGGGGAGGCGGCAAAUAUCCUUUGAUCCGGAGAUGUCUGAAUGGGGGAACCCACCUACUUUAAGGUAGGUAUUGCAACAUGAAUACAUAGUGUUGCAAGGCGAACGAGGGGAAGUGAAACAUCUCAGUACCCUUAGGAAAAGAAAUCAAUUGAGAUUCCCUCAGUAGCGGCGAGCGAACGGGGAUCAGCCCAUUAAGUUAUGUGUGUUUUAGUGGAACGCUCUGGGAAGUGCGAACGUAGAGGGUGAUAUUCCCGUACACGAAAGGGCACACAUAAUGAUGACGAGUAGGGCGAGGCACGUGAAACCUUGUCUGAAUAUGGGGGGACCAUCCUCCAAGGCUAAAUACUCCUGACUGACCGAUAGUGAACCAGUACCGUGAGGGAAAGGCGAAAAGAACCCCUGUGAGGGGAGUGAAAUAGAUCCUGAAACCGCAUGCAUACAAGCAGUGGGAGCACCUUCGUGGUGUGACUGCGUACCUUUUGUAUAAUGGGUCAGCGACUUAUAUUCAGUAGCGAGGUUAACCGUAUAGGGGAGCCGUAGAGAAAUCGAGUCUUAAUAGGGCGUUUAGUUGCUGGGUAUAGACCCGAAACCAGGCGAUCUAUCCAUGAGCAGGUUGAAGGUUGGGUAACACUAACUGGAGGACCGAACCCACUGUCGUUGAAAAGCCAGGGGAUGACUUGUGGAUAGGGGUGAAAGGCUAAUCAAGCCUGGUGAUAGCUGGUUCUCCCCGAAAGCUAUUUAGGUAGCGCCUCGGACGAAUACCAUAGGGGGUAGAGCACUGUUUCGGCUAGGGGGUCAUCCCGACUUACCAAACCGAUGCAAACUCCGAAUACCUAUGAGUACUAUCCGGGAGACAGACUGCGGGUGCUAACGUCCGUAGUCAAGAGGAAAACAAUCCAGACCGCCAGCUAAGGCCCCAAAAUCAUAGUUAAGUGGGAAACGAUGUGGGAAGGCAUAGACAGCUAGGAGGUUGGCUUAGAAGCAGCCACCCUUUAAAGAAAGCGUAAUAGCUCACUAGUCGAGUCGGCCUGCGCGGAAGAUGUAACGGGGCUAAAACUAUGUGCCGAAGCUGCGGAUGUAUACUUUGUAUACGUGGUAGGGGAGCGUUCUGUAAGCCGAUGAAGGUGUGUUGAGAAGCAUGCUGGAGGUAUCAGAAGUGCGAAUGCUGACGUGAGUAACGACAAAACGGGUGAAAAACCCGUUCGCCGAAAGACCAAGGGUUCCAGUCCAACGUUAAUCGGGGCUGGGUGAGUCGACCCCUAAGGCGAGGCCGAAAGGCGUAGUCGAUGGGAAAAUGGUUAAUAUUCCAUUACUUCUGUGUAAUGCGAUGAGAGGACGGAGAAGGCUAAAUCAGCCUGGCGUUGGUUGUCCAGGUGAAAGGAUGUAGGCAUGUAUCUUAGGCAAAUCCGGGGUACUCUAUGCUGAGAUCUGAUAGCAAGCUGUACUUGUACAGCGAAGUGGUUGAUGCCAUGCUUCCAGGAAAAGUCUCUAAGCUUCAGUUACACAGGAAUCGUACCCGAAACCGACACAGGUGGUCAGGUCGAGUAGACCAAGGCGCUUGAGAGAACUCUGCUGAAGGAACUAGGCAAAAUGGUACCGUAACUUCGGGAGAAGGUACGCUGUUGUUGGUGAUGGAACUCGCUUCCUGAGCUGACGACAGCCGCAGAAACCAGGCCGCUGCAACUGUUUAUUAAAAACAUAGCACUCUGCAAACACGAAAGUGGACGUAUAGGGUGUGAUGCCUGCCCGGUGCUGGAAGGUUAAUUGAUGGGGUUAGCGUAAGCGAAGCUCUUGAUCGAAGCCCCAGUAAACGGCGGCCGUAACUAUAACGGUCCUAAGGUAGCGAAAUUCCUUGUCGGGUAAGUUCCGACCUGCACGAAUGGCAUAAUGAUGGCGGCGCUGUCUCCAGCAGAGGCUCAGUGAAAUCGAAAUCGCUGUGAAGAUGCAGUGUACCCGCGGCUAGACGGAAAGACCCCGUGAACCUUUACUGCAGCUUGACACUGAACUUUGACCUUACUUGUGUAGGAUAGGUGGGAGGCUUUGAAGCUGGAACGCUAGUUCCAGUGGAGCCGUCCUUGAAAUACCACCCUGGUAAUGUUGAGGUUCUAACUCUGUCCCGUGAUCCGGGACGAGGACCGUGUCUGGUGGGUAGUUUGACUGGGGCGGUCUCCUCCUAAAGAGUAACGGAGGAGUACGAAGGUGCGCUCAGCGUGGUCGGAAAUCACGCGUAGAGUAUAAAGGCAAAAGCGCGCUUAACUGCGAGACCCACAAGUCGAGCAGGUACGAAAGUAGGUCUUAGUGAUCCGGUGGUUCUGUAUGGAAGGGCCAUCGCUCAACGGAUAAAAGGUACUCUGGGGAUAACAGGCUGAUACCGCCCAAGAGUUCAUAUCGACGGCGGUGUUUGGCACCUCGAUGUCGGCUCAUCUCAUCCUGGGGCUGAAGCAGGUCCCAAGGGUAUGGCUGUUCGCCAUUUAAAGAGGUACGCGAGCUGGGUUUAGAACGUCGUGAGACAGUUCGGUCCCUAUCUACCGUGGGCGCUGGAAAUUUGAGAGGAUCUGCUCCUAGUACGAGAGGACCAGAGUGGACGAACCUCUGGUGUACCGGUUGUGACGCCAGUCGCAUCGCCGGGUAGCUAUGUUCGGAAGGGAUAACCGCUGAAAGCAUCUAAGCGGGAAGCCUACCUCAAGAUAAGAUUUCCCUAGGACUUUAUGUCCUCUAAAGAGCCGUUCGAGACUAGGACGUUGAUAGGUUGGAUGUGGAAGCAUAGUGAUAUGUGAAGCUGACCAAUA